CACAAGUAAACUACUAAGACCAGUUAAAAGCGACCCCCUGAUAGCUUGCUCAUUCACAUCUAGGUGAUUACAACAAUGUUACUCACCAUGAUGAAAUAUUGUCCCUAAAAUAAUCAGAAGCAUUUGAUUUCAUUUUCUUUCUUUUCACUUUUAAGGCAUCAAUCAAGUUUUUAAUACUUUAACAUGAUGUUUUAAACAAAAUUAGAUGCUUGAAAGUUGUAGCAAUGUAAAGCCUGAGGAAUCUACUUUUAAACGAGGAAAUUUUAAUGAGAGAGGAAGAACUGAGGGAAAGUUUUCAUCAUAGCUAAGUUUGAGCAAUUUAACCCAAUGUCAUAUGUAUGAAGUCCAAUUUUCAAUUCACAAAUAAACCUCCCCCUCCCUUCCUUCAAAAACUUCCACCCUAGGCUAAUUGCAAAAGAAGAAAACGGAACAUGAGCUCCAGCCAGAAAAGAUUCACAGCUGCCACUCUUUAGUUGCUACUUUAAUGGAAAACACAUGUGCAAGAUACCACCCAGGAGACAACUGUGCUCUGACAAAAGGAACGUCACCAGAAAAUGAGCCACCUCUUUGGGCCUUGGUGAUUGGCACGAUCUCGGAGAACAGACAGAUCUAGAGAGCCCUCUUUUAGAACUCUGUGCCAAGAUGACCAUCUACAAAGAUCUUUGGAGACCAAUAAAUCAUUAGGCUAAUUUGGAAACCCACAGAAGAGGUUUUAUUUUAAUUAUGCUUGACCCCAGAUAAAAAUAA